rnacentral:lncRNA from 1 species
AGGGCCUUGAAACAGACCUGUGGCCUACUGUCUAAAAGACUUGAUCCUGUGGCAAGUGGAUGGUCUACCUGUUUGAGGGCAGUUGCAGCCACCACCCUCCUGGUCAAGGAGGCAGAUAAGCUCAGCCUAGGAUGGGACCUGGUCAUCACCACACCCCAUGCAGUGGAAACAUUGCUGAGAGGAGCCCCAGACUAUGGCUCUCCAACGCCUGCCUGACUCAGUACCAGGCCCUGUUGCUGGAUGCUCCAUGCAUCAAAUUCACCUGAGAAAUGACCCUCAAUCUGGCCACCUUACUCCUGGACUCUGACUCAUAUGCAUGCCCCUCCAUAACUGUCUGGACACUCUGACAACUUCCACCACCAACUGCCCAGAUCUGACUGAUGUUCCCCUGCAAAGCCCAGAUGAGACCUUCUUCACCAAUGGAAACAGCUUAGUGGAAGACUGAGUCAGGACUGACCUCUAUGGUCCAGGACAUCAGUUCCAGGUGUCAGGUGUGUACACAGUUAAACUCCAAGGCAAGACCAAGGAACAAAGUCUCUUCAAGCCUUACAGAUUCUUCAGAGUGAGAUCCAGGCUACAAAACAACAGGCUCAAGAAAAACCCUUUGCGACGUUCCAGCCCCA